GACGAACGCUGGCGGCGUGCUUAACACAUGCAAGUCGAACGCUGAAGCUUGGUGCUUGCACUGGGUGGAUGAGUGGCGAACGGGUGAGUAAUACGUGAGUAACCUGCCCUUGACUCUGGGAUAAGCCUGGGAAACUGGGUCUAAUACUGGAUACGACAUGCCACUGCAUGGUGGUGUGUGGAAAGGGUUUUACUGGUUUUGGAUGGGCUCACGGCCUAUCAGCUUGUUGGUGGGGUAAUGGCCUACCAAGGCGACGACGGGUAGCCGGCCUGAGAGGGUGACCGGCCACACUGGGACUGAGACAUGGCCCAGACUCCUACGGGAGGCAGCAGUGGGGAAUAUUGCACAAUGGGCGGAAGCCUGAUGCAGCGACGCCGCGUGAGGGAUGACGGCCUUCGGGUUGUAAACCUCUUUCAGCACGGAAGAAGCGAGAGUGACGGUACGUGCAGAAGAAGCGCCGGCUAACUACGUG
rnacentral:rRNA from 1 species